UACGUAGGGUGCAAGCGUUAAUCGGAAUUACUGGGCGUAAAGCGUGCGCAGGCGGUGAUGUAAGACAGGUGUGAAAUCCCCGGGCUUAACCUGGGAACUGCAUUUGUGACUGCAUCGCUGGAGUGCGGCAGAGGGGGAUGGAAUUCCGCGUGUAGCAGUGAAAUGCGUAGAUAUGCGGAGGAACACCGAUGGCGAAGGCAAUCCCCUGGGCCUGCACUGACGCUCAUGCCCGAAAGCGUGGGGAGCAAACAGG
rnacentral:rRNA from 1 species